ACGUAGGCAGCGAGCGUUGUUCGGAGUUACUGGGCGUAAAGAGUGCGUAGGCGGUUUUCUAAGUUUGGUGUGAAAUCUCCCGGCUUAACUGGGAGGGUGCGCCGAAAACUGGAAGGCUUGAGUAUGGGAGAGGGUAGCGGAAUUCACGGUGUAGCAGUGAGAUGCGUAGAUAUCGUGAGGAACACCAGAGGCGAAGGCGGCUACCUGGACAAUUGCUGACGCUCAGGCACGAAAGCGUGGGGAGCAAAAGGGA
rnacentral:rRNA from 1 species